CCUAGUGGUCAAACACAGAAAUGGUUCCAAUAGUCUUUUUACCAUACAUUAUUCUCAUAGGGGAUUUUAGAAACACUUCAAAUAAUGGCUGUGUUUCGUGUAGGCUUACCCUGGCGGGACGUUUUGAUAACUGUGUAAAUCUCUCUCGAACAAGAACUACAAAUGCCUGUCUCAAGCUUAGCAUCACCCACCAGGGCCAUGAUGAAUUGGACUAGACUGCAGAAACGAGGCAAAGGAACAGGGCACCAUCAAAAUGAGUGUUUUCUGGGGUAGCGUGGAGCAAACAAAGUUGAAGAUUCCGGGUGUUUGUGACGCCCUCCGUUUGGUACUACGUCGACCUGGUGGUGAGCGUGGUGAAACAGAAGAGUCAGACAAAGUCCUGUUAGGAUGUAUCAGUUAUCCUGUUAGAGCUUGUGUGCUGUAUCCUCAACACCCCAUUUUAUGUUUAUUCCAUGGCCAACCAUCCCUCUAGCUACCCCUUAUUCUACACUAUGCCUUUCAAGCCCCAUGGUCCCUCAACUUCUGAUCUUUUGGAACUCUCCAUCUUAUCGCUGUAAACCCACCCUAUGUUCACUUGUUGUUCUCCUGAUUGGAUAACAUCUAGACUGAGUUGUGGUGUACUUUUCUUUCACCUAUGUAAUGCUUUCCUCCUUCUGCUUAUUCUGGGGUUCAGACUGAAUGCAGUGGUAAAUGUGCUGCUCACAAUUGAUAGCAGCAACAUGGACCUUUUACAUUUACCAGAAGGAUGUUGAUAUAGCUGUGCUUAGGCAUGGCUUCAUGGUCCUGUUACAUUUACCAGAAGGGUGUUGAUAUAGCUGUGUUUAGGCAUGGCUUCAUGGACCUGUUACAUUUACCAGAAGGGUGUUGAUAUAGCUGUGUUUAGGCAUGGCUUCAUGGACCUGUUA